CGUUGGAACUGAUAUUUCGCGACUUUUAUUUCAAACUAUUCCCUGCUUAUGUUGCUCAGUGUAGUCUAUAUAACUAUUCCCUGCUUAUGUUGCUCAGUGUUGGUCUGGGUAACGAUUGAGGGGCUGGAUAACCAUUGUUGGUCUGGAUAACUAUUGAGGGGCUGGAUGACCAUUGCAACGAAUAAUGUCGUUGAUGAAAGGACCGUUGAUGAAGCGACCGUUGAUUUCUCUAUUUAUAUAGAGGCAGCCUCAGAUCAUUUAUAAACAGUUCAAUAUCAGUUUUCCUGAGUGGAAACUGUGGGGCGCGGCUUGAAAUGUUUUUCUCUGUUUUGUAGGUCAGAUGUGGCGCUUCUGAAGUUUUGGGUCGGCAUGAGCUAGCUCUGGCCUUCCUGGCCGCUUCCCUAGAUUUUCUCGAAGGCCAUAUUGUGGUUUCAAUGGCGGCGAUUCUAGGGCACUCCAAUUGGGGUUUCCAUGGGCAACAUCAGAAUCGCCCUGGCAGCCAUCGGGAAGCUCAUGUUUGUCCAAUUCUAGGAGCUGGUGUGCCACUACUAUAAUGGUCUGCCUUGGAAUCGGUCUGUGUAAUAUAGGUGACCCUGUAAUGCUUUGGGUGAACAAGAUGGUACUAAGCAGUGUGGUGCGCAUGUUUAUCUUGGGCUUUUUUUCUGACUGUGACCUGGAUCUAGAUAUUUCCACUCUGCUGGUCGUUCCUUAUAAGAGUUAAGUCUUUGGAAAAAUAUUUCAAGUCCUACAAUUGACAAGUUAGAUAAGAAAUUUGGUGACAGUUGAUCGUAGGUGUUUUUAUAUGGUAUGAACUGUUGUUAUAUGUGCUGGUCUGCUCUCUCAGGUUUUCCCCUGUUUUAAUCAUUUUUGCUUAGCUCGUUUUAUGGUGCUAGGGCAUGGUACAUAGGUUCUAGAGGGUUGAUAUGGAUAGGUUAAUGUUUGUCGAUUUUCUGAGUUUUGUCUCAGCUGUGUUGAAAUCUUUGUACAUCUUUGGUCAGAUGCUUGAAGGUGCUAUAUUUCUAAACUAUUUCUAGUUCCUUUUUUUAAGUUGCAUUCUAUGAAAGGCAUCAAUUUAGAAAAGCCUGGUUUGGCAGAUUGAAAAGUCAUGUUAGAGAUGGACUUCGAAAAGCUGGACCUUCAGAUGUUUGGACAUUCAAAUGGAGCCGAAAAAGGCAUGUACUUUCCUACCAGGAGUAGUAAAGUUGGCCUCAAGUCAUCCCAUUUUUAUAGCGCUUGAUUUUGUAGCUAUCACUUUCUACUUCUUUUUUAUUUUAUUUUAUUUAUUUCCUGCGCUCUAUUCUGCUAUAUUUUGUAACUAGCCUCUUUUAUGUUGAAUUUUACUGAUCGUAUACCUUAAAAGUGAUGCAUUCUGGUUUGUUACCCUUUUUUAUUUAAUUUCAGAUAAUCUGUUAGGGCAAUAAUGAAUUACUAUGAAAUUGUUCAUGUUGGUGGCUGUUAGAUUUUAUGAAUUGUUUUCUGACUGCAUCUUGGAUAUAAAAUUGCUGACUUUGUAUAUUGUAUUGAGUAGUGUAAUAUAGGUGACUUUUGGUGAACAAGGUUGGUUCUUACAACAAUCCACAAGAAAACAUAUAAUUAUUACUCUGCUGUGGAAUCUGAAUACUGGUGUUUUGAGUCUUGAGACUCAUUUGAUUUGAAUUGUAUUUGAAAUUAUUGUACUUGUUUGUUUAAUUGUUAUAAUGGUAUGGAUUUGAAAUUGUUUGUUUAAUUGUUAUAAUGGUAUGGAUUUGAAAUUAUUGUAUUUUGCAAAUUUUAUUUACUCUGCUGAGUUUUAUUCUUUGGUUGAACAGAUUCUAUUGAUGGCUGUUAGAUUUAUAAGUUUAGAUUUUAUGAAUUUAUUAUGAAAUACCGUGCCAAGGGACUGAUUGAACCCCUGCCAUGGUGGACCAAAUGUUUAAAUGGUACCAGAUUGGUAGUGAAGGAUCGGCGUUACCAAUAAAUUACUAUGGUGUUGUUCAUAUUGAUCAAUAAAUUACUAUGGUGUUGUUCAU